AUUGAACGCUGGCGGCAGGCUUAACACAUGCAAGUCGAACGAGUGGCGGACGGGUGAGUAAUGCUUGGGAAUCUCGCUUAUGGAGGGGGAUAACUACGGGAAACUGUAGCUAAUACCGCGUACCAUAGGAUGAGCCCAAGGGGGAUUAGGUAGUUGGUGCGGUAAAGGCUCACCAAGCCGACGAUCUCUAGCUGGUCUGCGAGGAUGACCAGCCACACUGGGACGGAGACACGGACCAGACGCCUACGGGAGGCAGCAGUGGGGAAUAUUGCGCAAUGGGGGCAACCCUGACGCAGCCAUGCCGCGUGAAGGAAGAAGGCCUUAGGGUUGUAAAGUACUGUCAGCGGGGAGGCGUUACCCGCAGAAGAAGCACCGGCUAACUCCGUGCCAGCAGCCGCGGUAAUUC
rnacentral:rRNA from 1 species